CCUCCUCUCUCUCUUUCCCCCUCUCCCCCUCUCUCUCCCCCUCCCCUCCUCUCUCUCUCUGUCUCCUUUUGCAGUAGUGUUAUGAGAGCAGGAUACUGUAUUUUUAUUCCCAUGCCCUAAUAAGGCUGUCUGAUCUCCUCCAGGGAAUACUAGUGUAUGUAAGGAGACUAGAAGAAAAUAAGUAAGAGAGGGAGAGAGGAGGAGCGUGAGGAGAAAGAAAGAUUGGAGAAAAAGAGAGGCGGGGGAAAGGUGUCUGAGAGUUUUGGUUCUCUAUGGUCUCUGUAGUUCAAUCCUCAUGGGUGUCAUUCUGAUAACACAACAUAACACAACAAAACAAAACACACAGAGACUUUCCAUUACAGUCACGUGAUAGAUGGACAAUGUAAAGACAACUAUGUCUAUCUCAUUUCACUGAAGCUCAGGUGUGUAGACACUAACAGAAGUGAGGAGUGAGGGAGUUUGGUUCAGGUUUGUAGACACUAACAGAAGUGAGGAGUGAGGAGUUUGGUUCAGGUUUGUAGACACUAACAGAAGUGAGGAGUGAGGGAGUUUGGUUCAGGUGUGUAGACACUAACAGAAGUGAGGAGUGAGGAGUUUGGUUCAGGUUUGUAGACACUAACAGAAGUGAGGAGUGAGGGAGUUUGGUUCAGGUUUGUAGACACUAACAGAAGUGAGGAGUGAGGAGUUUGGUUCAGGUUUGUAGACACUAACAGAAGUGAGGAGUGAGGGAGUUUGGUUCAGGUGUGUAGACAUUAACAGAAGUGAGGAGUGAGGGAGUUUGGUUCAGGUUUGUAGACACUAACAGAAGUGAGGAGUGAGGAGUUUGGUUCAGGUGUGUAGACACUAACAGAAGUGAGGAGUGAGGGAGUUUGGUUCAGGUGUGUAGACACUAACAGAAGUGAGGAGUGAGGAGUUUGGUUCAGGUUUGUAGACACCAACAGAAGUGAGGAGUGAGGAGUUUGGUUCAGGUGUGUAGACACUAACAGAAGUGAGGAGUGAGGGAGUUUGGUUCAGGUGUGUAGACACUAACAGAAGUGAGGAGUGAGGGAGUUUGGUUCAGGUUUGUAGACACUAACAGAAGUGAGGAGUGAGGGAGUUUGGUUCAGGUUUGUAGACACUAACAGAAGUGAGGAGUGAGGAGUUUGGUUCAGGUUUGUAGACACUAACAGAAGUGAGGAGUGAGGGAGUUUGGUUCAGGUUUGUAGACACUAACAGAAGUGAGGAGUGAGGGAGUUUGGUUCAGGUUUGUAGACACUAACAGAAGUGAGGAGUGAGGGAGUUUGGUUCAGGUUUGUAGACACUAACAGAAGUGAGGAGUGAGGAGUUUGGUUCAGGUUUGUAGACAUUAACAGAAGUGAGGAGUGAGGGAGUUUGGUUCAGGUUUGUAGACACUAACAGAAGUGAGGAGUGAGGGAGUUUGGUUCAGGUUUGUAGACACUAACAGAAGUGAGGAGUGAGGAGUUUGGUUCAGGUUUGUAGACACUAACAGAAGUGAGGAGUGAGGAGUUUGGUUCAGGUUUGUAGACACUAACAGAAGUGAGGAGUGAGGGAGUUUGGUUCAGGUUUGUAGACACUAACAGAAGUGAGGAGUGAGGAGUUUGGUUCAGGUUUAUAGACACUAACAGAAGUGAGGAGUGAGGAGUUUGUGCCACAUUCGGGUCAACGAGGUCCGGAGAGCCGCACUGAAAAUGUGAUAUAUAUUCUCACUGUCAAUUCUUUAUUUAUUAUUGUCCUCUAAACAUCAUUUUGGGAAUGUUGAUGCUCCCUGACUGUCCAUCUUUAAUUUAGGUGAUUAUCAGUGGUGUUUAUCAGUGGUGAUUAUCAGUGGUGAUUAUCAGUGGUGAUUAUCGGUGGUGAUUAUCAGUGGUGAUUAUCAGUGGUGAUUAUCAGUGGUGAUUAUCAGUUAGCUGGACACAGUCAAGAAACUGCAUGAAUGUAGGUCCAUUAUCAUUUCUACAGUUUCCAUUAGUUUUUUGUCAAUUUAAAGUAUAUUGAGUUUGUUUCCCCCGUCAGAAUAUAUAUAUUUUUUAAAUAAUGUGUACACACGCGGGCCGAAUUGACCCCCUUGUAUGUUUGACACCCCUUCACUAGACCACUCCCAGACCACUGGAUGGGCCAGUCUAAGGGGCACCCAGCCCCAUUCCUUUGGGUGUGGGCAAAUACCAGAGGGGUGUGUGAAAUAGUGGACAGUGUCUGUUCUAAAAUCCAAAUACUGUAACCUCAUUAGUACAGGUUUUACAAAACAUGUGUGUGUGUGUGUGUGUGUGUGUGUGUGUGUGUGUGUGUGUGUGUGUGUGUGUGUGUGUGUGUGUGUGUGUGUGUGUGUGUGUGUGUGUGUGUGUGUGUGUGUGAACAAUGUGUUGAGGGGUCAUUCCUAGGAGAGAGAUGUGAUUGGUUGAAACUGUGUGUGUGUGGUUACUAACCAUGCAGAACGAGGAAUGUGGUUUGCCCCAUCAGUAAAGUUUCACAACUUCAUCCCUCUCUCUCUCUCUCUCUCUCUCUCUCUCUCUCUCUCUCCCCCCCCCCUCCCUU